rnacentral:rRNA from 2 species
UGCAUGGAGCCGACCUUGAAAUACCACCCUUUAAUGUUUGAUGUUCUAACGUGGACCCGUGAUCCGGGUUGCGGACAGUGUCUGGUGGGUAGUUUGACUGGGGCGGUCUCCUCCUAAAGAGUAACGGAGGAGCACGAAGGUUGGCUAAUCCUGGUCGGACAUCAGGAGGUUAGUGCAAUGGCAUAAGCCAGCUUGACUGCGAGCGUGACGGCGCGAGCAGGUGCGAAAGCAGGUCAUAGUGAUCCGGUGGUUCUGAAUGGAAGGGCCAUCGCUCAACGGAUAAAAGGUACUCCGGGGAUAACAGGCUGAUACCGCCCAAGAGUUCAUAUCGACGGCGGUGUUUGGCACCUCGAUGUCGGCUCAUCACAUCCUGGGGCUGAAGUAGGUCCCAAGGGUAUGGCUGUUCGCCAUUUAAAGUGGUACGCGAGCUGGGUUUAGAACGUCGUGAGACAGUUCGGUCCCUAUCUGCCGUGGGCGCUGGAGAACUGAGGGGGGCUGCUCCUAGUACGAGAGGACCGGAGUGGACGCAUCACUGGUGUUCGGGUUGUCAUGCCAAUGGCACUGCCCGGUAGCUAAAUGCGGAAGAGAUAAGUGCUGAAAGCAUCUAAGCACGAAACUUGCCCCGA